UACGAAGGGUGCAAACGUUUGCUCGGAAUUAUUGGGCGUAAAGCGCACGUAGGCGGCUUUGUAAGUCGGAUGUGAAAUCCCUCGGCUUAACCAAGGAAGUGCAUCCGAAACUACAGAGCUUGAGUACUUAAGAGGAUCGCGGAAUUCCCGGUGUAGAGGUGAAAUACGUAGAGAUUGGGAAGAACACCAGUGGCGAAGGCGGCUAUCUGGACGGUUUCUGACGCUAAGACGCGAAAAGCGUGGGGGAGCAAACAGG
rnacentral:rRNA from 1 species